GUGGAGGUGACGACAACUUAAAACUUGAUUGUCUGUGAUCUUCAAGUAUUCAUACUGUCUGAUCCAC